GAUGAACGCUGACAGAAUGCUUAACACAUCAGCGAUGGAUUGGUGGCGGACGGGUGAGUAACGCGUAAAGAACUUGCCUCACAGGUAGGGACAACAUUAGGAAACGAUUGACAAUACCUAAUACUGUGAGAGAGCUUUGCGUCCCAUUAGCUAGUUGGAGAGGUAACGGCUCACAAAGGCGAUGAUGGGUAGCCGGCCUGAGAGGGUGAUCGGCCACAAGGGGACUGAUACACGGCGGUUACACCUACGGGAGGCAGCAGUGGGGAAUAAGGGACAAUGGACCAAAAGCAUGUCCAGCAAUUCGGUGAGCAGUAGGAAGUUAUCUGAAUGGAAAGUGCUUUCAGUUGGGAAUCGGUACCAACAGAAGAAGUGCCGGCUAAAUACGUGCCAGCAGCCGCGGUAAUAC
rnacentral:rRNA from 1 species